rnacentral:rRNA from 1 species
GACGAACGCUGGCGGCGUGCUUAACACAUGCAAGUCGAACGGAAAGGCCCUGCUUUUGUGGGGUGCUCGAGUGGCGAACGGGUGAGUAACACGUGAGUAACCUGCCCUUGACUUUGGGAUAACUUCAGGAAACUGGGGCUAAUACCGGAUAGGAGCUCCUGCUGCAUGGUGGGGGUUGGAAAGUUUCGGCGGUUGGGGAUGGACUCGCGGCUUAUCAGCUUGUUGGUGGGGUAGUGGCUUACCAAGGCUUUGACGGGUAGCCGGCCUGAGAGGGUGACCGGCGACAUUGGGACUGAGAUACGGACCAGACUCCUACGGGAGGCAGCAGUGGGAAAUAUUGCACAAUGGGCGGAAGCCUGAUGCAGCAGCGCCGCGUGCGGGAUGACGGCCUUCGGGUUGUAAACCGCUUUCGCCUGUGACAAAGCGUGAGUGACGGUAAUGGGUAAAGAAGCACCGGCUAACUACGUG